AGUGUGAAGGCAGAGAUCAGGGUGAUAUCUACCAGCCAAGGCACGCCAAAAGCUUCCCAGCAAACCAGCAGGAGCUGGGGCACAGGCAGGUACAGAUUCUCCCUCCCAGCCUCAGGAGGAACCAGCCCCCCCUACACCCUGAUCUCAGACUUCCAGCUUCUCCAACAGGGAGAUGAUGCAUUCCUGUUGUUGAAGCCUCCUAGCUUGCGUUUCUUCUUUCCAGCAGCCCUAGCUGAGGAGUGGAGACGAGAAAGCUUCUUUUAUUGAGCACCUGAGAACAUUCUCGAUAGGCCCCUCUCCGCCUUCAUCCUGGAAGAAACACGCAUGUCUUUCAGCGAAUGGACGGUGGCACCAGACAGAACGGAGUCGGAAUCCUGCCGUGGUGACUGCUUCUGCGCGAUGAGCAUUUGAGCCGCCCAGGUGACCUCACGGAGCUCUGUCUUGGGACGCCCAGUGUCUGCUUCAUAGCCUGACCGGGAGGGUGAGGAUCGUCUAUGUGAAUCACCGGAUAGCACUACCCCUGCAUCAGAAUGCACUUGACAUGAUACCACCAUUCCCUUUCCUUAGCUCUCUGCCUCUUCCUAUUUUGCGUUUCUUGUUAUUCCUGCGGUCUCCCCAGGUAGGAACUAAUCACAUGUUGAGGGCAUCCUGAGACUGUUGUCCUGAACUCCCCCAUCUCAUGAAACACUCGGGGUAUGUUUCUUCCUCCUUUUUUUUCAUGCUUCAGUUGGGUUUCUGGCAGACUCACAGCAGCCUUCAGCCAGGAGGCCGAUUCCCCGCGUUGACGUGGGCGCCAUCUCCUGGUCAUCUAAGGAAGGUGGUAUGUGUGAGGGAAACGCAUGCACUGGGCACCCUCUUGGAUGCCACCGCCUUCUCCCUUGAGGACAAACCUGGGCCCAGCCCUUCCAACAAAGCAACAUGUAGAUGCUUGGGAACCACGGAGCAGACCCUUUUCCCUGCAAAGCACCAUGGAGAGUCCUUUCUACGAGGAAGGGACGUCUGGGGCGAGAGCAGACAAACAGGGCAAGGGUGCAUGCAGAGAGGAACUGCCUCUGACCGGCCCCACUUGUCUUGCCUUCUCUCUUAGUUUCCGUUCUAAACAUUGAAAGCAAGAGUCAGCAGAUGGCUGCCCGGCUGGCCACCUCCUCUGUAGAUAAAGCUGUAUUCACACAUGACAGCCACAGCUAUCUCUGCAUGUGGUGUUCUGCGAUGCCGUCCCAAGUGACAUCAUCACACUCCGCGAUUGUUUUGGCAGGGGACGGGAAGCCGGGUACCACCCCUGGAGGUAGAAGCCCCUCUCCUGCUGUCAGGGUGGAGGCGGUCUUGGGAACCACACGGCCAAGAAGUAUGGGCCUGGGGCCGCUGGUGAAAUCAGGCGGUCAGGAGCGGGUGGGACACAGGCGGGGGCGUUGAGAAAUUCCCUAUGAUCUUAUCUACACGCAGCACACUGUGUGCAACUCUCCCCUCCGUCCACCCCCGGGCCUUGCUCUCCGCAGCUUGUUAGAGCUGCACUGUGCAGCUGUAUUUGUCUCUUUGACCGUGGCCAAGUUGAGGUUAUUUGGGUACCUGAGUCCCUUCUUCAAUGUCCCUUGAAGUCAGCAGGCCACAUGGCACCGCGGUGCACGCACAGCUUCCUGAUACAGAGAACAGGAAAACGUUCGCUCCUUUAUAUGCAAAUAAUAAGGGCCUACCAUCGCCUCACUCAUUAGCAGAAAGCUACUGAUGGAGAAGUAUUGCCAUCCGAGCCUCAAACGUUUGGUAAAAUGUUCUCAACGUUUAGCUGUUUUAUUCUUUGUCGCUCCUCCAGCCACUUAACUUCAUUCAGUUUGUUGUAAAUGUACGUUCCAGCAAUAAGUCAUCUUAGUUCUUACACAGUGAACUAGAAGGGACAAAGCAAGGCUUUCUACGGGCAUCUGCAACUGCAUUUUUGCUUAUGUGUUUGUUAAAUGGCUGAGGCCAGUUUUUGAUUAUGCUUAAUUUUUUUUUCCUGGGAUAAAAUCCUUACCUCCGAGACCGUGCCCCCUCUGGCUAUAGAUCAUCGCAUCCACACCCUG